CAUGAUCAGCUAGAAACUUGGGCUGAAAUUGGGGAGUGCAUUUGGAUUUUUUGUUUUCAAUUAUGAUGCCUUUUACUGGAGUUUGACCUGUCCCAUUCUGCCGCUGUCAUUGCUGCUGCCCUCAGAUCAAAGCUACCAUGGGGCCAGAUGUGGUGGCUCUUGAGCCUAGCAAUGUGAGGCAGCUGGGGAACAUAGUGAGGACCCAUCUAAAACUGCUGCAGUGGAUAGUUCAUCCCAUCCAGACCCCUUCCACUCCAACUCUCCUCCUGCUGCAUGUGUUUGUUCCCUCUCCGGAGGUCUCAGAUAUGUGAUAAUUUUGGUAAUUGCCAAUGCUUUCCAGACCACAGGCCCCCAGACUGUGAAUUCCGUCUUAGUUCACCAGGGGGCAGUAUUGACGAUGGAAAUGUUCAGAAAUCAGACUUACGACCUGGGAAGACUUUUGUCAGGCUGUUUGCACAACUGAGGAAGACACUGAGAAGACAUGCAGUCCACAGUGCAGUAUCUGCUAGAGCUGAGGAAGACACUGAGCAGAUAUUGGUGGCUAUGGUGCAUUAUUGGCCUACAAACAAAUCUAUAAUGGAAGAGAAGAAGAGAAAGAAUGCAUCCACUGCACCAGAAAGCUACCACGUGGAAUAUGAAGACUGCCAAGGUCGCCAGCAAAUGGCCUAAAGAAGAAAAUGAGCUUUAUAACCCUAAAGUCCCGCCCCAAAUACAGUUUAUAAAAUAAAGCUGUGAGUCCCCGGAGCAAACUGAUGGGUCAGCCAGGACCGCGGGCUGGGUGGGGGGCGGGAGGAACCAGGCUCAGGACCAGGAACCACAGCCCACGCUCCGCAGGA
rnacentral:lncRNA from 1 species